CAGUUUAACGGCCGCGGUACCCUAACCGUGCGAAGGUAGCAUAAUCACUUGUUUCUUAAAUAGAGACUAGUAUCAACGGCAUCACGAAGACUAUACUGUCUCCCCCCUAAAAUCAAUGAAACUGAUCUCCUCGUGAAGAAGCGAGGAUGUAUAUAUAAGACGAGAAGACCCCAUGGAGCUUUAAACGAACUUCAAUUGUUCCUACCCAUAACAUACAAAUUGAACACCCCUGAUAGUUAGUUUUAGGUUGGGGUGACCGCGGAGUAAAACAAAACCUCCACAAUGAAUGAAAUAAAAUUCUUAUAAAAGAACCACAAUUCUAAUAAUCAAAAAUUUGACAUAAAUUGACCCAAACACUUGAUCAAUGAACCAAGUUACCCUGGGGAUAACAGCGCAAUCCAUUUUAAGAGCCCAUAUCGACAAAUGGGUUUACGACCUCGAUGUUG
rnacentral:rRNA from 1 species